rnacentral:rRNA from 1 species
UUGAUCCUGGCUCAGGAUGAACGCUAGCGGCGCGCUUAAUGCAUGCAAGUCGAGCGAUGAGGUCUCCUUCGGGGGGCACAUCAGCGGCAGACGGGUGAGUAACACGUAGGUAACCUACCCCAGAGACAGGGAUAACCCUAGGAAACGAGGGCUAAUACCGGAUGACCUCCGGAAGGAGGAAAGGCUCAGGCGCUCUGGGAGGGGCUUGCGGCCCAUCAGCUAGUUGGUAGGGUAAAGGCCUACCAAGGCGAAGACGGGUAGGGGGUGUGAGAGCACGGNCCCCCACAAUGGGACUGAAACACGGCCCAUACUCCUACGGGAGGCAGCAGCAGGGAAUAUUGCACAAUAGGCGAAAGCCUGAUGCAGCGACGCCGCGUGAGUGAAGAAGGCCUUCGGGUCGUAAAGCUCUUUUGUAGGGGAAGAGGAAGGACGGUACCCUAAGAAGAAGCGUCGGCUAACUACGUGCCAGCAGCCGCGGUAAGACGUAGGACGCGAGCGUUAUCCGGAAUUACUGGGCGUAAAGGGCCAGCAGGCGGCUUGGUAAGUUGUGCGUGAAAGCCUCGUGCUCAACGCGAGGAAGCCGGACAAUACUGUCAAGCUAGAGGGCAUCAGAGGGGAGUGGAAUUCCCGGAGUAGCGGUAAAAUGCGCAGAUAUCGGGAGGAACACCGAUGGCGAAGGCAGCUCCCUGGGAUGCACCUGACGCUAAGAGGCGAAAGCUAGGGGAGCGAACAGGAUUAGAGACCCUGGUAGUCCUAGCUGUAAACGCUGGGUGCUAGGUGUGGGACGUAGAAGUUCCGUGCCGGAGCAAACGCGAUAAGCACA